CCUACGGGUGGCAGCAGUGAGGAAUAUUGGUCAAUGGGCGCGAGCCUGAACCAGCCAAGUCGCGUGAGGGAAGACGGUCCUAUGGAUUGUAAACCUCUUUUGUCGGGGAGCAAAAGACGCCACGCGUGGCGUUCCGAGAGUACCCGAAGAAAAAGCAUCGGCUAACUCCGUGCCAGCAGCCGCGGUAAUACGGAGGAUGCGAGCGUUAUCCGGAUUUAUUGGGUUACAGGGGUGCGCAGGCGGAAGAUCAAGUCAGCGGUAAAAUUGAGAGGCUCAACCUCUUCGAGCCGUUGAAACUGGUUUGCUUGAGUGAGUGAGAAGUAUGCGGAAUGCGUGGUGUAGCGGUGAAAUGCAGAGAUAUCACGAAGAACACCGAUUGCGAAGGCAGCAUACCGGCGCUCAACUGACGCUCAUGCACGAAAGUGUGGGUAUCGAACAGGAUUAGAUACCCUUGUAGUC
rnacentral:rRNA from 1 species